rnacentral:lncRNA from 1 species
CACACACAUAUGCAUGGUCAUAUUUUUGAUGUUUUAUUUAUUUUAUGGAGCCAUCCCUUUAUGGAGCCAUUUUCUUGGCCUCCCAGGUAUUUACAUUUAAUGUAUGUACAUGAUUACUGCCGCUAGGGGGAGCUGUGACGUCAAUGGCGUGCAUUAGUGAGAUUGAGGUCUUGGAGAUUUCUUCUUCAAUCUUGGAGAAUGACUACUUCUGAAAACUAAUGUUUCUCCGUCUCAUAAUUUUACCCUAUUAAUUCAGUUUGGAUGAUCGGACCAAGGUGACUGCCAUGGGCAAGUCCCUUGACGGGUACCAGGAAUGGUGGGAGGACAAUCUGAAGUUAAUGAUCUUUGCCUACAACAGCAGCGUCCAGGCCUCUAGAGUACUCACCCUAUCGCCUGCUGUACUAAUGGGCCCUGCAGCUGUUUACGGAGUUGUCGAACCAGAUCAGAAUGCCUUCAAGGACCACCUUCAGGCACGGACUGAGAAGGAUGUGAAGGUUUUUGACCAGGUGAGACUGAACACGGACAAGGCGCAGGAGAAACAGAAGGAGGAGAAUCAAUUCACCGGAGGAGAAUCAAGUGGACCAAGUGCUUCGACAUCCGGGCGAAUGACUUGGCUUGGAAGAAGGACGAAAGGAAGGCAAGACCUGGGAAAGCUUGGUGCUCUUUCGCUCCUAGCUGGGGUCACCAUCUGUUAAGGGAACAUACCUUACCUCCCUUAUCAACCCCACUGACAUAAAACAUCUGACAAGCUAAGAAAGAGCAAGAAAACUAUCAUACUGGGUACAUAAUGUGAGCUGCACAGAUUAGCUAAAAACACUAGCCCUGAAAAUACUCAGAACAAAGAGGGCAGCAGCGCCUGGACUUUGCAGUUUCCCUCUUCAGGUCCACCUUCCAAGACUACCUGUUGAAAACAAGUGACAGGCAGAACCUCUCAUCCACACAGCACCCGCCUCCUCUCUGUUCUACACUACAGAAUUCAGUAUUUUAGUCUGAUUGCCAUGUGAGUGUACAAAAAAUCAGAAAGUAAAUUGACACACUUGUACCCCCAAAAAUAUCAACGUUUAUGUAUUAAAUCUAAAAUAUUGCCAGAUUGGUUUUCACAGCUGUUUUAUAAGGUGUUCAGUAUUGUAAAUUGUAACGUAUCCCUUGAUGGUAUUUGUUAGUUAAACAUUAUUAAUUGUUGUAUCAAAUGCAAUAGAUAUAUAUUCAACCACAAGGGUGUACUAAUGAGCUAUGAGUGUUAAAAAAUCAUAAUAAAGGACUACUACUGAAAUAUUAUUUCAGUGUAGAUAAGGAAAGGCCUGUUCAAAAUGAAAACAUGCCAGCCAGACAAGCCAGUGUAUGAAUCAAAUGUAUUUACAUAUGGAGUGAAAAUUAGCUGACUUUUAUCUGUAAGGUAAGUAACCGUGGGGGGAGAGGGGCAUUGAAAUUAUAAUUUUUUUACCCUGAUACCUGUUUAUUAAUAAAAAAAAUGGUAAAUAACAUUUGCAAUGGUUAGCCUAUGCAAAUGAAUAGGAAAACAAAAGCUUAUUAAUAGGAAUACAUUUAGCCCAAUUGGUAACAUAUAGGGAUUACCGACUUUCUAAGUUGUUUUGAAUGCGCCACUAGAGACCUAGAUGACCUCUUAUUUCUGAAUAGGGAUACCUCCAACAAAGAAGCCCUUGUGUCUGUAUUGAUGUGAGAAUAAGCAUGUCUACAGAGUAAUUGUGGCUGGCUGAGAUAUCAACUAGCUUAAUCAUUUUUGUAUUGAGGUGAUAGGCCUAUUUUAGCUAAUUCAACAAAUGAAAUUGAUUACAUGUAGACGUUUGUAUGGUGUUCAUGGUGAGAUCUUUAAUAAUAAACUAAACAGACACAAACUAACACGUGACGCAUAACACAUGUAGACGUUAAGGAGUUAAUUGUAAGAUUGUUCAUAAUAAACUUCACUACGUGAACACGUCACGUGCCACGUCUAGACGCCUUAGAAAGAAACUUGUCUCCAUUGACAGUCCAUGUUAAUUCAUGGCGCUAAAAAUACGUUAGGUGACUGUGAGACGUAUCAGUAGCUUCACGAGGCUUAAUUAUGGCCCUUAUCACCCCCCAUACGUGUGUGUUUCUUUCACUGUCCAAUCCGAGGCUCGAACAUGAUCCGAGCAUGUGAUCUGAGGCUGUUUGGACUCUUGCGCAUCAACUUGAGAAAGCAUCAAGGUUGAGUGGACAGUGCAUUAUGAACAAAGUGCCGCAUAUAUUUGCGUGGUGUGUUGAAAAGAUGGGCCAUCCGUUAAACAGCAAUUCAACUUUGAACGACCUUAGUAAUGUUUGUAUGAAUAAAAAAUUAAAAAAAGUUUGGAGAGCCAAUUAUUUAAUGGAUUGAACUUGAAUGACAAUUUUCAGAAUGAAUCAAACCA